AUUGAACGCUGGCGGCAUGCUUUACACAUGCAAGUCGAACGGCAGCGCGGGCUUCGGCCUGGCGGCGAGUGGCGAACGGGUGAGUAAUGCAUCGGAACGUGCCCAGUAGUGGGGGAUAGCCCGGCGAAAGCCGGAUUAAUACCGCAUACGACCUGAGGGUGAAAGCGGGGGACCGAAAGGCCUCGCGCUAUUGGAGCGGCCGAUGUCGGAUUAGCUAGUUGGUGGGGUAAAGGCUUACCAAGGCGACGAUCCGUAGCUGGUCUGAGAGGACGACCAGCCACACUGGGACUGAGACACGGCCCAGACUCCGACGGGAGGCAGCAGUGGGGAAUUUUGGACAAUGGGGGCAACCCUGAUCCAGCCAUGCCGCGUGCGGGUAGAAGGCCUUCGGGUUGUAAACCGCUUUUGUUCGGGAAGAAAUCCUCUGGGCUAAUACCCCGGGGGGAUGACGGUACCGGAAGAAUAAGCACCGGCUAACUACGU
rnacentral:rRNA from 1 species